rnacentral:rRNA from 1 species
UCGAGAAUUUUUGACAAUGGGGGAAACCCUGAUCGAGCGACGCCGCGUGGAGGAUGAAGGUCUUCGGAUUGUAAACUCCUGUCAUUGGGGAACAAGGUGCAUACGUUAACUGCGUGUGUAUUGAUAGUACCCGAAGAGGAAGGGACGGCUAACUCUGUGCCAGCAGCCGCGGUAAUACAGAGGUCCCAAGCGUUGUUCGGAUUCAUUGGGCGUAAAGGGUGCGUAGGCGGCGCGGUAAGUCGGGUGUGAAAUCUCGGAGCUUAACUCCGAAACUGCAUUCGAUACUGCCGUGCUUGAGGACUGGAGAGGAGACUGGAAUUUACGGUGUAGCGGUGAAAUGCGUAGAUAUCGUAAGGAAGACCAGUGGCGAAGGCGGGUCUCUGGACAGUUCCUGACGCUGAGGCACGAAGGCCAGGGGAGCAAACGG